GGCAGAGCAAAACCCUAAAAAAUACGUCUCAGUUCAGAUUGCAGGCUGCAACUCGCCUGCAUGAAGUCGGAAUUGCUAGUAAUCGCAGAUCAGCAUGCUGCGGUGAAUACGUUCCCGGGCCUUGUACACACCGCCCGUCAAGCCAUGGGAGCCGGGGGCGCCUGAAGUCCGGGACCGCGAGGACCGGCCUAGGGCGAAACUGGUAACUGGGGCUAAGUCGUAACAAGGUAGC
rnacentral:rRNA from 1 species